GGGAGGGGGUGACUAGUGACAGAGUGAGAGAGAGGGUGACUAGUGACAGAGUGAGGGAGGGGGUGACUAGUGACAGAGUGAAGGAGGUGGUGACUGUCACUAGUCACCCCCUCCCCUCCCUCACUCUGUCACUAGUCACCCCCUCCCUCUCUCUGUCACUAGUGACACCCUCCCUCACUCUGUCACUAGUCACACCCUUCCUAACUGUCACUAGUCACCCCCUCCCUCUCUCUGUCACUAGUCACACCCUCCCUCUC